rnacentral:rRNA from 1 species
GACGAACGCUGGCGGCACGCUUAACACAUGCAAGUCGAACGAGCGGAGAGAAGCUUGCUUUUCAAAGCUAGUGGCGGACGGGUGAGUAACACGUGAGCAAUCUGCCUUUCAGAGGGGGAUACCUGUUGGAAACGACAGUUAAUACCGCAUAAAAUAAUUUUACCGCAUGAUAAAAUUAUCAAAGAUUUAUCGCUGAAAGAUGAGCUCGCGUCUGAUUAGCUAGUUGGUAAGGUAACGGCCUACCAAGGCAACGAUCAGUAGCCGGACUGAGAGGUUGGACGGCCACAUUGGGACUGAGACACGGCCCAGACUCCUACGGGAGGCAGCAGUGGGGAAUAUUGCACAAUGGAGGAAACUCUGAUGCAGCGAUGCCGCGUGAGGGAAGAAGGUUUUAGGAUUGUAAACCUCUGUCUUAGGGGACGAUAAUGACGGUACCCUAGGAGGAAGCUCCGGCUAACUACGUGCCAGCAGCCGCGGUAAUACGUAGGGAGCGAGCGUUGUCCGGAAUUACUGGGUGUAAAGGGAGUGUAGGCGGGACUGCAAGUCAGAUGUGAAAACUAUGGGCUUAACACAUAGACUGCAUCUGAAACUGCGGUUCUUGAGUGAAGUAGAGGUAAGCGGAAUUCCUAGUGUAGCGGUGAAAUGCGUAGAUAUUAGGAGGAACAUCAGUGGCGAAGGCGGCUUACUGGGCUUUAACUGACGCUGAGGCUCGAAAGCGUGGGGAGCAAACAGGAUUAGAUACCCUGGUAGUCCACGCUGUAAACGAUGAAUACGAGGUGUGGGGGGACUGACCCCUUCCGUGCCGCAGUAACACAAUAAGUAAUCCACCGGGGGAGUACGGCCGCAAGGCUGAAACUCAAAGGAAUUGACGGGGGCCCGCACAAGCAGUGGAGUAUGUGGAUUAAUUCGAAGCAACGCGAAGAACCUUACCAGGUCUUGACAUCGUAUACAUAGCUCAGAGAUGAGUGAAAUCCCUUCGGGGACAUAUAGACAGGUGGUGCAUGGUUGUCGUCAGCUCGUGUCGUGAGAUGUUGGGUUAAGUUCCGCAACGAGCGCAACCCUUAUGUUUAGUUGCUACGCAAGAGCACUCUAGACAGACUGCCGUUGACAAAACGGAGGAAGGUGGGGAUGACGUCAAAUCAUCAUGCCCCUUAUGACCUGGGCCUCACACGUACUACAAUGGCUAUAAACAAAGUGAAGCAAGACAGUGAUGUGGAGCAAAACACAAAAAAUAGUCUUAGUUCGGAUUGUAGGCUGCAACCCGCCUACAUGAAGUCGGAAUUGCUAGUAAUCGCAGAUCAGCAUGCUGCGGUGAAUACGUUCCCGGGCCUUGCACACAGCGCCCGUC